AGGACGAACGCUUGCGGCGUGCCUAAGAAAUGCAAGUCGAGCGAGGGGCUUCGGCCCCUAGCGGCGAACGGUCGCGUAACACGUAGGCAACCUGCCCCAAAGUGGGGGAUAACAGCCCGAAAGGGCUGCUAAUACCGCAUGUGGCCGGUGGAAGGCAUCUUCUACCGUCUAAAGCAUUUAUGCGCUUUGGGAUGGGCUUGCGGCCUAUCAGCUAGUUGGUGAGGUAAUGGCUCACCAAGGCGACGACGGGUAGCUGGUCUGAGAGGACGAUCAGCCGGAUUGGGACUGAGAUACGGCCCGGACUCCGUACGGGGGGGCAGGCAAUUAGGAAUCGUUGCGCAAGUGGGGGAAACCCUGACGCAGCGACGCCGCGUGCGGAUGAAGGCAUUCGUGUCGUAAACCGCGUUUUGUUGGGAAGAGAACGGACGGUACCAACGAAGUAACGACCCGACUAACUACGUGCCGAGCAGCCGC
rnacentral:rRNA from 1 species